rnacentral:lncRNA from 1 species
UCUUAAUGGGCACUUUUGAAGUAUUUGUUUGUUCAAAAUAUAUUUAAAACCAAAACUUCUGCUAGAUUUACACAGCUAAACUUGGAGUAGUGCAACUGAAGUCACUGAACAAGCUCACUCUUUGCUAUGCUUGGCAGGAACCAGAAACUAUGACAUGCUAGAUGGUGCCAUAAUAGCAAAUUUAUAUGCAAACGUGGUGAUAUCUUCUUUCCCAGCAUGCACCUUUACAACCACAUUAAAAAUAUUCAUAGUUUUGAGAUGUGCAGC